UAAUACCGGAUAGAUCAAAGAUACUGGAAUGUUCCUUGAUCCAAAGCUCCGGCGUCCAAGGAUGGAUCUGCGGCUUAUCAGGUAGUAGUGGGUGUAACGUACCUACUAGCCUACGACGAGUACGGGUUGUGAGAGCAAGAGCCCUGAGAUGGAUUCUGAGACAUGAAUCCAGGCCCUACGGGGUGCAGCAGGCGCGAAAACUUUACACUGCGGGAAACCGCGAUAUGGGGACCCCGAGUGCCAGCACCUAGUGCUGGCUGUCCCGCUGUCUAAACAACAGUGGUUAGCAAGGGCCGGGCAAGACCGGUGCCAGCCGCCGCGGUAACACCGGCGGCCCGAGUGGUAACCGAUUUUAUUGGGUUUAAAGGGUCCGUAGCCGGCCUGUUAAGUCUCUUGGGAAAUCUGGCGGCUCAAUCGUCAGGCGUUC
rnacentral:rRNA from 1 species